UCAUGUACAUGUAAGCCACAUCAUAUCAUAAAAUUAAAAGCGUUUUGAAAUCCCGAGGGUUAGCUGAAAGAAUCACUUUUACAAACUUAAAUCAAAAUAUAGCCUAAUAGUAAAAUAAAACAUUCAAGCUUUAGUACCUUGUGCAUAUUUAAGUCUUAAAUAAAAUACUAGUAGUACCUUAUAAAACAUUCAAGCUAAGUACCACACACUUUAUCAAUUUUCCUUAUAAAAUAACCUAGUAGUUAAUUAAGAUAAAAGUCCACUCCAUUCAACGGUUAUGGAAAUGACAACCUUGAUGAAUCUUUCCUUUAUCAACUUCGCAGCAAACUUCUCUUCCCCUAAUAUGUUUCUCUUAGCCUGCAUCAUGAGAGGAAAACACAACUAUAAUUUUAUACUUGAAUAUACACCUCAUGCACCAAAUAGAAAUAAUAAUGUGAUUUUUUUUUGUAGUAGUAGUAAGGAACCACUUUCCGUACUAUGCACCAAAUAGAAAUAAAUAAUAAUAAUACUAUAUACUUAAUGGAUGGAAUGUGAAGACCGAGGAAAUCAUGUAUCUCACUCACCCUCAAGUAAAAUUAUAUAUAAAGCUAAUGGGAAAGAAGAUGAAAUAUAAGUAAAUAAGCUAAUGGAAGAGUUUGUUAAAGAGGGAACUUGUAGGCAUAACUUACAUGGACUAUUCACGAACAAGGAGAAGGACUCCAUCGACUGUUGGGAUCAUCAACUACAAAGUAAUUGGAAACAACAUUAUUG
rnacentral:lncRNA from 1 species